CUCCUACGGGGCGCAGCAGUGAGGAAUAUUGGUCAAUGGGCGGGAGCCUGAACCAGCCAAGUCGCGUGAAGGAAGAAGGUACUUAGUAUUGUAAACUUCUUUUGUCGGGGAACAAAGGCGGAGACGCGUCUCCGGAUGAGUGUACCCGAAGAAAAAGCAUCGGCUAACUCCGUGCCAGCAGCCGCGGUAAUACGGAGGAUGCGAGCGUUAUCCGGAUUUAUUGGGUUUAAAGGGUGCGCAGGCGGGCUGUUAAGCCGGCGGUAAAAAUUCAGGGCUCAACCCUGUCGAGCCGUCGGAACUGGCGG
rnacentral:rRNA from 1 species